rnacentral:rRNA from 1 species
UACGUAGGGUGCGAGCGUUGCCCGGAUUUAUUGGGCGUAAAGGGCGCGUAGGCGGCUCGGCACGUCCGUUGUGAAAUCGCCCGGACUCAACUGGGCGGGGUCAGCGGAUACGGUCGAGCUUGAGCAAGCUAGGGGGCAAUGGAAUUCCCGGUGUAGUGGUGGAAUGCGUAGAUAUCGGGAGGAACACCAGUGGCGAAGGCGGUUGCCUGGAGCUUUGCGUGACGCUGAUGCGCGAAAGCGUGGGGAGCGAGUCCGG